rnacentral:rRNA from 1 species
UCCCCUACGGGACGCAGCAGUGGGGAAUAUUGCACAAUGGGGGGAACCCUGAUGCAGCGACGCCGCGUGGGUGAAGGAGUAUUUCGGUAUGUAAAGCCCUAUCAGCAGGGAAGAACAAUGACGGUACCUGACUAAGAAGCACCGGCUAAAUACGUGCCAGCAGCCGCGGUAAUACGUAGGGGGCAAGCGUUAUCCGGAUUUACUGGGUGUAAAGGGAGCGUAGACGGUCCUGCAAGCCAGAUGUGAAAGCCCGGGGCUCAACCCCGGGACUGCAUUUGGAACUGUAAGGCUAGAGUGUCGGAGAG